ACACUGCUGAGGAGUCCCACAACAGGACGAAACGGCCGUCCAGUGC
rfam:Schistosoma rodhaini strain Burundi genome assembly, scaffold: SROB_scaffold0004365